UACCUGGGCCCCCAGUGGUGACCGCUAUUUUUGGGUUUAAAGCGUUCGUAGCCGGCUUGUUAAGUCCUUAGUGAAAUCUGGCAGCUAACUGUCAGAAUUGCUGGGGAUACUGGCAUGCUUGAGACCGGGAGAGGUAGAGGGUAUUCUUGGGGUAAGGGUAAAAUCUUAUAAUCCCAAGAGGACCACCUGUGGCGAAGGCGCUCUACUAGAACGGAUCUGACGGUGAGGGACGAAAGCCAGGGGAGCAAACGGG
rnacentral:rRNA from 1 species